CAGUCCAAGCUCCAAGCUUGUCAAGGCCCAGGAGCGCUCCAGGAGACAGACAGACACUUGCUUCCCCAGGGUGUGAAGUCAGAACUUUAAGCUCCCCACACACCCCGAUAUGUGCGGAGGGUGACACUCUUUCAGAACUCAGGCAUCACCGAAAGCCUCGCCAUGCAUUAAUGAGGCAGGAGAACACGGCUACGGCGUUGUUAUUACAAGGUUAAGCUACUUGUCAGAUUUGAGAACUGUAGAGAAAGCUGCUAUUCCUUACACUCACAGGAACCGUGUGGUUGCUUAGCAGCAAAGCUUUUCUUCUAGGUAUGAUCAUAGGAAAGGCUAAGCUUGGGGAAAAACCCAAACACGCUGGUGAAUCAGCCAUAAUAAGCCCCGUCUUGACGAGCCCAGAUGAGGCCGAACACGAAUUAGCCUUAUGUGGAAGAACUCCAAAUGGGCAGGUUAAGUGGCGCCCGCUGUGUCCGAGAACAGGAAGCAGCCUGCAGAAGGCUGGAGCAAGUUAAGCCAUUGAUUUCUACCCAAUCUGUUAGCAAAGGAGAGGAGCUCUCCGUAGGGACUCCUGCGCUGGUGGAAGGGAGAGAGCUUCUAAUAUCCCCAAAUCUGCAAACUCCUGUUGAUUAUUGUAGUGAAUCUCUUUUUGUCAGGCUGGAGCAGUUAGGAAAAGGCAGGAACAGAAGACGGCUGGUGGGUGAACUCAUCUGUGUGUCAAAGCCCCGAAUGCUGUUCCAUCUGCUAGGACUUCUCCAGAGAAGGUGCUUCCAGAAAAGGAUGAUCUUGUACAUGAUGCACAGAACUCCAAGAUGUAUAUUUUAAAUUCAGUUUGCCACAGGCUUUCUGGGUGACUCAAAAUCAUCUAUACAUUGUGACUCCACACAAGUUGUGCUGUCAGUGGUUACUAGACAAUGAUCUGACCUUGAUUAUUUGAAUGGUAACCUGAGUGGAAAAUGCAGUGAUGUAUCUGGAGUCAGGAUCUAAUCCUUCUGAAGGUAACCCUUGUCAAGGUACUCUUUUGAGAGUUAUGUAGCACAAUGAAGGCACUGUGUCACAACCUCCAGAGAUGGUAAAAUAUGAUAGUUUUGUUUAUUUUCCAUAUUUUGACUGAGGAGAAUUGCCUUUUGUUAUCUUGUGCUUUGAGGGCUACUAUGGCUGUAGUUACACAUGGGAUAAACUCCGGUAAGUGCUCAAUACAGUCUUGCUUUCUCAAGCUCGGCCUAUACUAUAGUUUGGUUGACAUAAGGCAGCUUACAUUGACUUAACUCUGUAAGUGUCUACACUACAACAUUGCUCCCGCUGAUGUAAGUCGUCCACUACACUGACCUAAUAACUCCACCUCCCCGAGAGGCAUAGCGCUUAGGGUGAUGUAGUUAAGGCGACGCAGUGUCUGUGUAGACACUGUUACUUAU